UGCAAGAAAUCUUCAAUUGCACAGUAUUGCGCAAUAGCAAGAAAUCUUCAAUUGCACAGUAUUGCGCAAUAGCAAGAAAUAUCCAAUAGCACAAUAUUGCGCAAUAGCAAGAAAUUGUCAAUUGUACAGUAUUGCACAAUAGCAAGAAAUAUUCAAUUGCACAGUAUUGUGCAAAAGAAGAUACUUCGUAUAAAUUGCUUAUUUCUUGAUCAAUUUCAAUGGGGUUUUAUUCUUGAAUUCUUGGGGUUCUUUAAUAUGCUGAAUCUAACCGUGUAUUAAGUUUUUGGAUUUUGGGCCCCGUUUUUAAAUUGGUCCACAUUGAGGUCCAAAGGGUCCAAAAUUUAACUUUGUUUGAUUUCAUCAAAAAUUGAAUUAUUGGGGUUCUUUGAUAUGCCGAAUCUAACCGUGUAUUUAGAUUCUUAAUUUUUGGUUCCGUUUUCAAAUUGGUCUACAUUAAGGUCAAAAGGGUACAAAAUUAAACUUAGUUUAAUUUUAACAAAAAUUGAAUUUUUAGGGUUCUUUGAUAUGCUGAAUCUAAACAUGUAUUUAGAUUUUUGAUUAUGGGCCCAGUUUUCAAGUUGGUCCAAAUCGGGGUCCAAAAUUAAACUUUGUUUGAUUUCAACAAAAAUUGAAUAUAUGGGGUUCUUUGGUAUGCUGAAUCUAACCAUGUAUUUAGAUUUUUGAUUUUUGGGCCCCGUUAUCAACUUUGUCCACAUUGAGGUCAAAAGGGUCCAAAAUUAAACUUUGUUUGAUUUCAUCAAAAAUUGAAUUCUUGGGGUUCUUUGAUAUGCUGAAUCUAACCAUGUAUUUAGAUUUUUUAUUUGUGGACCCGCUAUCAAAUUGGUUCAUAUUGAGGUCAAAAGGGUCCAAAAUUAAACUUUGUUUGAUUUCAUCAAAAAUUGAAUUAUUGGGGUUCUUUGAUAUGCCAAAUCUAACCGUGUAUUUAGAUUUUUAAUUUUGGGUCCCGUUUUUUAAAUUGGUCUACAUUAAGGUCCAAAGGGUCCAAAAUUAAACUUAGUUUGAUUUUAACAAAAAUUGAAUUUUUGGGGUUCGUUGAUAUGCUGAAUCUAAACAUGUGUUUAGAUUUUUGAUUAUGGCACCAGUUUUCAAGUUGGUCCAAGUUGGGGUCCAAAAUUAAACUUUGUUUGAUUUCAACAAAAAUUGAAUAUAUGGGGUUCUUUGAUAUGCUGAAUCUAAACAUGUAUUUAGAUUUUAGAUUUUUGGCCCAGUUUUCAAGUUGGUCCAAAUUGGGGUCCAAAAUUAAACUUUGUUUGAUUUCAACAAAAAUUGAAUAUAUGGGGUUCUUUGAUAUGCUGAAUCUUACCAUGUAUUUAGAUUUUUUAUUUUGUGGGCCCGCUAUCAUUUGGUUCAUAUUGAGGUCAAAAGGGUCCAAAAUUAAACUUUGUUUGAUUUCAUCAAAAAUUGAAUUAUUGGGGUUCUUUGAUAUGCCAAAUCUAACCGUGUUUUUAGAUUUUUAAUUUUGGGUCCCGUUUUUUAAAUUGGUCUACAUUAAGGUCCAAAGGGUCCAAAAUUAAACUUAGUUUGAUUUUAACAAAAAUUGAAUUCUUGGGGUACUUUGAUAUGCUGAAUCUAAACAUGUGUUUAGAUUUUUGAUUAUGGGACCAGUUUUCAAGUUUGUCCAAGUUUGGGUCCAAAAUUAAACUUUGUUUGAUUUCAACAAAAAUUGAAUAUAUGGGGUUCUUUGAUAUGCUGAAUCUAACCAUGUAUUUUGAUUUUGGACAUUGGACAAUAAUAGGUAAAUUAAAAAAAUUGAAGUUCUUAGACCACAUUCUUUCUGUGUCAGAAACCUAUGCUGUGUCAAAUAUUUAAUCACAAUCCAAAUUCAGAGCUGUAUCAAGCUUAAAUGUUGUGUCCAUACUUGCCCCAACUGUUCAGGGUUCGACCUCUGCGGUCGUAUAAAGCUGCGCCCAGCGAAGCAUUUUAUUUACAGAUGUCUUAUUAUAUCAGAAAAUCUAGCAUUACGACUUUGGUCAAAGUUUUAGAAAUAGGAUAGGCUUUCCUUAUUAUAUUUAAUAAAUGUGUUUUAAUGUAUAAAGAAAAUAAUGCUCAAUGGAGUGUUGACCUUUGAUUUCAAUAUUGACAACAAUUUAAAACCUCCGGAAGUGGAGAUUUCAACCUGAGAAAAUGUUUUUUUCAUUUGUUGUAUAAACAGUGUUUUAUACCUUUUUCUGGCAAUGUGUCAACUCUUUACCAUAGAAUAACUGCUCAUAAUCAUAUAAUGAUAAUUAAGAUAGGGCAUUCUUUAAAGUUUUUUAUAAGAAAAGUUAUAUUUAAGCUCCCCUUCAAAAUGUCAGUCUUUCAAAAUUUAUAGAAAAAAUGUAAUCUUUUCUUUAUUCUUAAUAGAGUUAACACCUUUAAUGUGAUGAAAUCUUUGUCUGAUAACAACACUUUAGAUUAUCUAUGAUGAUUCAAUCCCAUGAAUAUAGAUAUAUUAAUGUAUACCAUAUAAUAUGAAAACUCAUUCAGCUUACCAUGUAGAUAAUGCCUGUUACAUACUAUGCAACCACUUUUAAUAUAGUAAAUUGAUGUUUUAAUAGAAAGCACGUAAAAUGGGCAGCCUGUGGUGUAUAUUUCAAAUCCAACCUUUGCGUUCAUGUUUUUGAUGUCUGUUUAUUUACAUAUAAAACCUGCAUGUAACUUGAAAUUUCAAUUGGACAUUGUUCCAUUAAAACCAUAAUUUUUGUGAAAAUUUAAAAAAGAUUCAAAAUAUAUGAAAAAGAGUGGUGAUACCCUAAAAUUUCAAUAAUUGUCUAGUUUUAUUAUACAAGGACAUAUUGAAUUUUUUUUUUAACCAUAUCUAUUUGUUUAUUGGUUCAACAUGUAGAGCAGGCAAAAUCAGGAUAGGUAACCUAAACAUCACUUGCUUUAAAAUUUUUGGGUUUUGAGCGUUCCUGAUCCAGAAAAGCGGUAUUUUCAUUUGCUUAAGGGUGGAGUUAAUUAUAGACAAACAAACAUUGGCAAAAUAGUUUGUUUUUGACCAAUUAUAUAUUGCUAUUUUGUUCCUUAGAUUAUGUAGAUGAUAUAUAAAAUAACAGUAGAUUUAUGUGUUCCUGUCAAGAUAUUAAAAUAAUUCUUGUUUGUUAUAUUUUUCCUUUUUGUUGACGACUUAUUGUAUAUUUGCAUAUAAAUAUUAUUCAAAUUUUGUACAUUUCCUUAUACAAAUGUAUAUUAAUAUAAUUUUUCUUGUACAUUACCUUGUAUAUUUGAAUUUUACUAUACAUGUUUUGUUGACUAUGCUGAAUUAAGAUAUAAAAAUUCUUUACCUGA